UAAGGAGAAAGUCCUACAACAUAACUAGAUGAGGUUACGGCAGGCACUAAAUCUGCCCCGAGUGCUUGACUCAGCCUCACUUGAUCCGCUGCAACAGCCUCCCCUCUGGACUGAGAUGGAAGUGGGACAGCUGGAUGACCAUGACAUUGGACCUCCAGUAGUGCUCGUGAAGCGAUGCAUCUUGGAAAGGAGGAUCUGCCUGCGUUCCUGACAUCACCCUUGGGAUUUCUCCUCUGCUCUCCAGGCCUCUGGCUCUCCCUGCUGGUUCUGUGCUGGGUCACCUGCCACUGCUCAGCCUGCAUGCCCUGCAGAAGUUGGCUGGAGCCAGCUGGUGGUGACUUGCCAGAGACUCUGGUUAAAUAGGAAUUUUGCAAGCUGGUUGUUAAACCAUUGGUAGCUUGAAAUCAGCCUUGGUGGGAGUAUUUAUAACCCAGAAAUUGGCAAAUACUACAAAUCAAGUCUUGCCUCCAGCAGCUUACCAGUAGUCCACAGCUUACCUGCUCCUCUUAGUACCAAUGAAAACACCUACAUCACCUCGUUUUAAUAGCGACAAACUUGAGAAUUUUUGAUACAAAUAUUUACUAGGAAAAAAAGAAAAGAAA
rnacentral:lncRNA from 1 species